rnacentral:lncRNA from 10 species
GUACUUAGGCAUGAAGCUGGGAAACCUCCUCAGCCCCAAGCUCCCUGAACUGGGAGGUGGGAAGCCUAAACUCCUAAUCCAGGAGAGUGGGUACUCAAGAUGCCUGGAGAUAUGCCUGGGUGUGGAGUCCAGAGGGCUCCAUUGCACCACAAUCUCUGCACAGGGAGGAUAGGGCAGCUUAGGUUGUUAAUUCAGGUGAAUUAGCGCUCUGACUGCCUAGAGAUCUGCCUGAGCAUGGGACAGAGAAGGCCCCACUUUACUACAUUCUCUUCACAGGAAGGGUGGGCCGAUUCAAGCUGCUGAUCCAGAUUCUAGAGGCCCCCUUCCCAAGGCAGCAACAUCACAUCUCUCUGGCCUUUCUUUUCUCAUCAUGUCUGUCUCUGAUCACAGGCUGGGAAAGGUUCUACAGCUUUAAGGACCCAUGCGAUUCAACUGGGACCACUGGGAUAAUCCAGCUGCUUAAACAGUGUCCUCAAGUUCCUGUUUACUCUAGGCCAUCAAUAUUGGGAUGAUGAUGAUGACAACAAUGACAAUGAAGAUGAUGAUGGCGUCCAUCCAAUAAAAAUCAAGGGCACAAAAAUGCUCUCCACACGGCACCCGCACUACCUGUCAUUCCAGAUGCUUACCGCUUUAGUGCCUCUUUCAGCAAUAUGAAGUUAAAUCCAGAGAGAGUAUUAGAGGUGAUCCAAAACUCACAUCUGACAGAGAAGUAGCCAGAGGCCCUUUAAAAAUGAAGCCUGCCUGAAAAUUGAGAGAAAGGACUCCAACCCCAAACUAGGACAUGCCAAGGGAAAAGGUAUAGCCUAAGUAAGAAGACCACAAGAAGUGAUUGCCUAAUAUGAACAACAUUUUCCUUGGGAACAUUUGUGGGAACUGUAGAACAGUGUGGCUGCCUAAAAAGACAAGUAAUAGAUGGAGUUCACAACAGGCUAACAAGAGGAAGGCAAAUUUUUCUUCUACCAUGAUGAUGGAAGACACAUAACUGCUUUAUGGAGUUUGAGCUUGCUUCCAACAGGGAAGGUAAAUGAAGUUUUUUAUGGUUUGGAUCUUUGGAGAACAUCAGAAAAAGACUGUCCUUGCCAUCCACACUCCAACAAAACUUCGGGACCUUGAACUUUGGAUUCAUAAUCUCACAACUGAGAAGGGUACCUCCACACUCCUGGAACUGUAUACCCAUUGGAACACAUAAGGUUUAAAUGCUUGCAUGCAGCCAUCUCUAAGAUGUCAAAUUGUCUCUCUUCAACUGGAAUGGCAAGAACUAAAAGAAGUGUGCAACCAUGAGGACACCAUAACCUAUGAAUGGCAUGCCGAGACCAGAAACCCAAAAUGAUGAAAUCACCAAGCUUCAGAUAAUUAUGCAACAAAGGUUCCAGCCAGUUCCAAGUGAAAACACCACCCCUCGGCAUCCAGAAGCUACCCUGCCUUCACUAGAAAGAGCAGGGCAAGAGUUCCAUGAUCUCUAAUAGGUAUGUGUCAGGCCUCUGAGCCCACGCUAAGUCAUCAUAUCCCUUGUGACCUGCACAAAUACAUCCAGAUGGCCUGAAGCAAGUGAAGAAUCACAAAAGAAGUGAAAAUGGCUGGUUCCCGCCUUAACUUGGUGACAUUUCACCAUUGUGAUUUGUUCCUGCCCCACCUUAACUGAGCAACUAACCUUGUGAAAUUCCUUAUCCUGGCUCAGAAGCUCCCCCACUGUGCACCCUGUGACCCCCACCCCUGCCUGCAGGAGAAAAACCCCCUUUGACUGUAAUUUUCCACUACCCACCCAAAGCCUAUAAAAUGGCCACAACCCUAUCUCCCUUUACUGACACUCUUUUCAUACUCAUCCCACCUGCACCGAGGUGAUUAAAAAGCUUUAUUGCUCACCCAAAGCCUGUUUCGUGGUCUCUUCACAGGGACAUGUGUGACAGUAGGGACUACGCCCCAAGCCAGGAUGAAGCAGGUACAGAAGAAAGACCAUAGGUUCCUCUGUCUCCCAUAAAGAUUUAUGGGGAUCACAUCUCUCACUGGGGGAAUAAAGCAAGAAAAUAGGGUCUGGAGGCAGGGAACAUAAGGCUAAUUUACACUUCAUCUAUGACAGAAAAUAUCCUCUUCAUAGGGUGUAUGCUGAGUAAAUAAUUUUGUAACUUUACUUCUCCCUUUUUGUUUAUAUAGGGUGUUCACCAAGUAACCAAUAGAAUCCUCUAGUGGUUAUUUAAACCCUGCCAAAUUCCAUAAUUGGGCCCUUGAGCCCCUAGGCUUGGGCCCACUCCAACACUGUGGAGUGUACUUUCAUUUUCAAUAAAUCUCUGCGUUUGUUGCUUCAUUCUUUCCUUGUUUUGUUUGUGUGUUUUGUCCAAUUCUUUGUUUAAGAUGCUAAGAACCUGGACACCCUCCAUCACUACCACUUGC